UACGUAGGCAGCGAGCGUUGUUCGGAGUUACUGGGCGUAAAGAGUGCGUAGGCGGUUUUCUAAGUUUGGUGUGAAAUCUCCCGGCUCAACUGGGAGGGUGCGCCGAAGACUGGAAGGCUUGAGUAUGGGAGAGGUAAGCGGAAUUCCUGGUGUAGCGGUGAAAUGCGUAGAUAUCGGGAGGAACACCAGUGGCGAAGGCGACUACCUGGCCCAUUCUUGACGCUGAGGCGCGAAAGCUAGGGGAGCGAACGGG
rnacentral:rRNA from 1 species